AGUUAAAUCUGACAACACAAAAUAAAAUAAAAAAUAAAUAAAAUAAAAUGAAAUAGAAUAAAUAAAUAAAUAAAUAAAUAAAUAAAUAAAACAAAAAAUAAUAAAUAACAAAUCAAAAUCAAAACAGCAAAUUUUUACUUUCUUUAUUCCGGCAACGUUCUAUGCCUGCAUAGUGGAUGCGUAUUUCUUCUUACAUUUGUAACAGUUCUGCUUGUUUUUUUAGUGUUGUUUGAGCAUUAAUGUAUCGUUCAAGUACCGAGCGGUUUCGAAACAAAGACCCAAAGCGGUGCGGCUCACUUCACUCAGUGGCGUCAGUUCUUUCGUGCGGUGCACGCGUGUGUUGAAUUCUGUGCUUUCUCGAACACUUAUUUGUUUCUCUGUGGUCAAAGCUGAACAGGAUUACCGGAGCCCCACCAGAAGCCUGUCCCAAAGGCCCGACAGUAACGCUAAGCAGAAGCUCACCUGUAGAUGGGCGUCUUGAAGGAACCUCGGUAAAAGAGGACUAGUAUAGUGUCGUCGUCUGCGAUGGAAGGCGACACAUCACACGGCAGGAUCACCUUGCCCCUCCAAGACUUUCACCUCCGUCAAGGGACCUGCAGAGGGAAAGGUGACCAAGUUAGUUAAGGAUGGGAAGAAUUUGACCAAGUGAGGCCACCCCAGCAAGACUUCUUUUCUCACCUCGCCGUCUGGUUCCCUGUCGGUCCAGCUCUCUACCAUCCGUCAUGCUUUUGGCGAACAACUCCAGAAUGCGUGUUUCGUUCAUCCACACCUGGCCUUCUCUUCUUGCUGGUGAACUAGUCUCUGGUGUAAUAGUGCCGCAUUUCACUUCCUCCACCAACAAGACUUUAGGGAUCGCAAGAGUGGAAAAUCUUUUAUUCUUAACAACUGAUAGAUAUUUAUCAUUUACAUUUUACUCAGAUAGCCUGUAUUGAUGCCAUAUAGAGUGUCUUUGGUUUCACAUUUUAAAGUUUACAUUGUCUUUGAUAUUUUCAGUGUGCAAAAGAAAUAUCAGUAGA